UUUUAUGCAAUUGAAAAUGCUACUUUUAUUUUAAAUCUAUGCGAAGACUUUACUUUUUAGUCACAUAAUUGAGCGUUACUUUUUAAAAUAAAUUGUAUCAUUUUGACAUCUUAAAUGUAUUUCCCGCUAUGUCAUCAUCAAUAACAAUAUAAAAAUCUAUAAGGCACUGCACCAUUUUUAGAAUUAAAAAACGAAACCAAAAGUAAACCAAAAGUUUACAUUUAAUAAACAACUACAUCUACAACGGCAUUGCUACGCAUCCCAAAUAGUUUGUCCUAAAUAAGUGCUCAUCAAUUGUUGCAUUACCUUUUUACAUCAUACAUUAAAAUUAAGGUGUCUUAGUGAUUUUUUGUGGACAUCUUAUCGAUUUAUUGACUAAAACCACUUGUCCUGUAUGCAAAUAUUUUAAGUUACUCUUACCAGUGUUUUUUCCAACCAGUGAGCAUGAAUGAUGGCUAAAAAUAGCAAUACCAAUCAACUGGUCUAUUAGUUACUUGUCUUUAGCUUACCUGAGCACAACGUUAAGACUUUUUGUGAUAGUAUUUUUUCAUUUGUCCGUGCGUCGCCAUAAUUUAUAUUUAUGUCACACUAGAGGCAACACUUUUUCACAAUCUUAAUGAAAUCGAUCAAACAUGUCUUCUAGUAAUACAGCGAACGAGUAAGAAAAUUAAUUGCGUAAGUACAAAAACUAUGUCAUUUGUUAAACUGAAAGAAACCCCUCGUGAACACUUUGCAUGCCACAUUUUUUUUGUCAGAACAUUUGUCCAAAUUAUAUACCGAUCAAGUUCUAAAAUUGUUCAGGUCCGUUGAAAAGUUGGCGGGGCAAUUUUUAUCAAAUAGUGAAACCUUCUGACCGCUCUAGAUGUUACAUUUAUAACUCAAUUUAAAAGAGAUAAUAUCCCAUAACAAUCGUCACAAUGAUAUCAGGGCCGAUUUCAAAACGUGUUCUGGUCCGUUGAAAACCGUGGCUGCCAGGAGGUGGGGCAGUUUUUCUUAAAUUGCUAUAGGGAAACAUUGUGAACAUUUUAGGGGUCACAUUUAUUGCGCAGAUGACAAAUGUCGAAAUAAAUAUAUCGACCAAAUUUAUAAACUGGGUUUUAUGGGGUAAACACUAAUUGAAUAGUUCAAAUUAUUAAAAGUUUGUUAACACCAGAUGCCAUAUUUAUUGAACACCGUAAACAAAUUGGUGAGAUAAUUAAAUGUUUCCCUAAUAUGUCUCCGGCGAGUUUGAAAUGUUUUACGUGAGUAUUUUAAAAACCAUAUUUAUUUAUAUAUUUAUCAAACAUAAGCCGCCAUAAAAAUAUGGGAAAAAUCUAGACGCCAAAUUGUUUGUCAAAUCAUCAUACCGAGUUUUAAAAUGCAAAAACAGUUCAGUAUAUUCAGGUCGCAGGUGAGUAACUGUGUUGUCCCUUAGCUUGAUUAUUAGUUGUAUGUAACCUGACCGAUUUUUACAACGCUAUAAUUUUUACAAGAAAUCGUUUGGUCACGUUUUUCUUAAAUUAAAAAAAACCCUUUGCAAGCUUCAUUGUCCAGGUCAACACAUAGAAAGAGCAUAUUUUGCUACAUUUUUAUGUAUUUGAUUAGUAUACAAACUAUUUUUAUUAGACUGUUCAGCGAUUUUCUUACUAUUUUGCUGAUAAGAUUUUUUGUUCGUUCGUACUCUUACGAUUCGUUCCAUUUGUUCAAUGUAAACUCUCCGCUUGAAUAUUAUGUAACUCGUCAUAUGUGUAAUACACGAUAGGAUCCAGUUCCUUUUUUAUUUACCAAUGGUUUGUAUCAUUUUACAGCCAUCUACAACGCCAUGCAUACCUCGAUAUCUAGUCAAAUCUAAUUGGUUUCACCGUUGUGUUGGAGACUACAUGAGACUUUGACAGAUGGCAGGAAACCCUUCUCAACUGGUUACACGAGUUUGAAGAAGUACAGGUUGCGUUUUGCAAGAUGUGGACACUUUCAGUGGAUAUGGAAGCCGCGCCAAGAGAAUAAAGGAUGCAGAACAAGGAAAGCGAUUUUGGUGUCAGAAGAGCGUCGAACAAAAAGCGUUAUCAAAACCUUCAAUCAAUCAUGCAGGUAUAUCAUUAGCAUUUGUUUGUAAACUAGUUGUUUGUAUUGAUAGUUUAUACUGAACAUAAGGAAUACAGAACACGUUCUCAGAGAUACUGGCAAACUGACUGAGAGACACACAAAUUGUUGACCACACAGAAAUGUAAAAAUAGACAGACAAGAAAGCCACAUAUAUACAUGAGGCGUGCUCUGUGAAAACGGGGCUUAAGGCAUGUGCCUCAAAUAUCGUCCCACAAUAGCCAGUCAGUACCGGCCUGUGUAUUCCGCACAGUCCUGUGAAGUCCGCACAGGGUAAUCAGGGACGACACUUUCCGCAUUUCAGUGUUUUUCUCUUUUAAAAGAAUACUCUUAAGAAAAAAAUCCACUUUCGGCGGAAAGUGUUGUCCCUGAUCAGCCUAUGAUGACUGCAUAGGCUAAUCUGAAGUUAAGAAUACAGACAGGCAUCGUUGAAGAAGAAAGUCAGUCUUUCUUUGGACAGGCAGAGCGGAACAGACAGACAGACAGAUAGACAGCCUAGACACAAGGAGUGACUGAUAUACUUUCUGACUGGCUAACUGAAACAACGACUGGCAGGCGUGUGAACCAACGGGUCGGUCUCCGACUCACAAUCAGGCAGCAUGGGCAUCCACAUUUACAUAAUGACACAAUUUCGGUUAAAAAAACAUUCAAAACACAUACAUCCUUCAUUUGGAAAUAUAUUCUUUCAUCAAACGGAGCAAAUCACAAUUUUAAAUAAGACUGCAACCUAUUGAUUUUGAAUCAUAUCUGAUUUAUAUCUAUCAGCGCGCGUAUGGAUUUAUCAGUUCUCGUAUACAUGUUUGUCGAUUUAAUAUUCUUACAUUAAGUACAUUUCUUACUUUUCAGUAAUUUAUAUAAAAUUAAACAAAUAAUAUACGCAAUGUGUAUAGAAAAUAUUGCAAAACUAUGCUCAAUA